ACAUUUUUUAAAGAAAAGUUCUCAUCCAUCUUCCAUUCUUUUCCUUCUUCAAUUUUCAGAGAACAUUUAAGAGAUAUUUUGGAAGAAGAAGAGGAAUUUUACUAGAAUUUUGAGGUUGAAGAAGAGAAGGAGAACUCAAGCAAAGUGUAUCCAUGGUUGAAUCUUGGUUCAUUCUGCACAUCACUGAUUUUUAAUUUGGUUUGAACUUUUCAAAAGGAAUUAAGAGGGCAGUUGGUUUUCACGCGAAUUCAAGAGGUCUCUGGUUUUUCUUGUAUUUCAGAGUGUAUCGGUGAAGUUAGGAUCUCUAUUUGGGACAAGUUAAAGGGGUCGUGUGCACGCGAUUCUAGAAGUUAUUCUGUUUCGAGGGUUAUCUGAGUUUAUUCACAGGGAAUCACAUUUACAUGUCUUCAGGUAAGUUUUAGAGAACCUCAAAAUAAAGAUUUUAAUAUAAAAAAAACUCAUUUUGGUUAAGUAUUGAGAAAGUUAUAGUCAUUUGAAGUUUAUGUUAGAAAUCUGGAAAUUUCAGAGAGUUGUUGAAAUAGGAUUUUAUUUCUUAAGCUUUGUUUUCGUGAGCGUCAUCUUUGGUGCAACAUGUUAUGUAUAUCUUUAGAAAACCAGAAUGUUUAGAGUUCUAAUACUCGGUUCGGUUGUUGGCAAGUCAAGAAGAAUUAAACCGAGCUUAUAAACCAAGGAUCUAGCCCAAGACGGUGAGUGACAAAACCAACUUUGAAAUAUUUUCCAUAACUGUUAUUAUGAUUGAAUGCGAUAAAUGUUUAUUUACGAAGUCAUGAAAGGUAUUUGAAUUUCAUGACUAUUUUCAAGUAUACAUUUGGAGACUAGAUUUCUUAAAGAAAUUUAUGCUAGCACGUAGAUAUUAAAUGUUUGGAAAGUAUUUAAACCACAAUGUUUUAAGCAAAGCAUGAAUUAGCAAGAAGUUUUGUUUUAAGAACUACAGUUUUCCACGAAAAAGUUGAGUAAAGUUCGAGUUUUAUGUAAAAUUUAUAAGCAGGCAUGUUUUAAUAUUUUUAGAUGAUUUAUGAAAUUUUCAUUAACUACAUGAUUGAGAUCUUGAGCCUGAGGCUAGAGAUUUUCGUGUGUACAUUGGUUAGAUUCUGUUGUUGACGUUGAGUGUACUCCGUAACAACGAUGUUGUCGUGAGUGCUGGGCAGGCCCCACUAUGACAAAGAUGAUGAGAGUGCUGGGCGGACCCCACUACAUCGUAGAGCUUGUAAACGUUGUUGUAUUGGGUGUACCCUGCAUAACGUAGAUUUGUCAUGUUAGUUAAAAUGCUUCGAUAUACUUGAUAUGCCUUGCUAGAAUUCAAUGACGAACAUGCUGAGUAUUUUAGAAAGCUAUUCUUACUACUACAUGUUUACAUUUACGACUUGUAUAAACAGAUUUAUAUGUGUAAAGUUUUCACGUGCUCUUCUCUUUAAAUUCAAAAUUUUAAACUGAGUCACUCACUGAGCUUCAGAGCUCACCCUUUCCAAAAUGUUUUACCCAUUUUCCAGAUAGAGAUCGAGUUUCCAGUGCCUGAUAGACUGCCUUAGUCUAUCUACUGAAGCUCCGUUAUCGAUUGCCAGUACGUGUUUUGAGUUGGGCAAAGAGUCUGUUGUGUUAUGAUGUAUAUACACCCUUGUAUGUUAUAGAUACUCCACAGUUUGUAUAAGCUUUAGAAGCUGCAGUUGUGUAAAUUUUUUGUUGGUUAUAUUUUGAUUAAGGUGUCUUUAGGUUUACUCGUGAAAUCAAUUAAUUCUGAGUUACACUUCAUGUAUGUGUUUGACUAGCCUAGGAUCCGUUGUGUUUUGUUGCAUGUAAAAUAGUUUAUAUACUAGAUUUACAAGUUCAUCACGUUAAACUUUUAAGCAGAGUUGACAGAUACAGGUAAAGAAAAGCGUUGUUCGUCGGCUUCACGCCAUCUUUCGGUCUAAGCUAGCAGGUAGUCCGGAAGGGGGUGUGACAUGUUUAGCAAAGAUGAACUCUAAAGUUUUCUUUCUUCAAUUCUUUCGCAGUCUACACCACUUAUGCAAAAUGAAGCCUUGAUUGCCUAUUGAUGUUUAAAGAGCAUGGUUAGUCAUGGCUCUAACUUAAUAAUAAAUUCUUUUAAAGAUUGGAGUCA